rnacentral:rRNA from 1 species
CACGUAGGGCGCAAGCGUUGUCCGGAAUUAUUGGGCGUAAAGAGCUCGUAGGCGGUCUGUUGCGUCCGCUGUGAAAUCUCGGGGCUUAACCCCGAGCCUGCAGUGGAUACGGGCAGACUAGAGGUAGGUAGGGGAGAAUGGAAUUCCCGGUGUAGCGGUGAAAUGCGCAGAUAUCGGGAGGAACACCGGUGGCGAAGGCGGUUCUCUGGACCUUACCUGACGCUGAGGAGCGAAAGCGUGGGGAGCGAACAGG